rnacentral:rRNA from 1 species
GACGAACGCUGGCGGCGUGCUUAACACAUGCAAGUCGAACGGACAGGCCCUGCUUUUGCGGGUCGCUCGAUUGGCGAACGCGUGAGUAACACGCGAGUAACCUCCCCUUGACUUUCGGAUAACUCCUGGAGACUGGGGCUAAUACCGCAUAUGAUCUCCUGCUGCAUGUGGUGGGUUGGAAAGUUUCGGCUGUUGGGGAUGGUUUCGCGGCUUAUCAGCCUGUUUGUGGGGUAGUGGCUUACCAAGGCUUCGACGGGUAGCCGGCCUGGGAGGGUGGCCGGCCACAUGGGUACUAAGGUACGGACCAGAAGCCUACGGGAGGCAGCAGGGGGGAGUAUGGCAGAAUGGGCGGAAGCCAGAUGCGGCAACGCCGCGUGCGUGAUGACGGCCUACGGGUUGUGAACAGCUUUGGAAUGUGACAAGGCGUGAGUGACGGUAAUGGGUAAGGAAGCACCGGCUAACUACGUG